rnacentral:misc_RNA from 1 species
AAGACUAUAGACCUGCGGAGUACCAGCGGAAGGAUCAUUAACGUAUCUAUGAUGGGGUGCGGAGCGCCCUGCUCCGGUCGAACGGCCGUGCAGCGGGUGCGCCGCCCCCGUCCCACCUCACAAACCCACUGUGAACAUUCACCGGUGGAGGGGGCUCGGUCUGCGCCGUGUCCCCGAUGCCGAAUACCCAAACUCCAGUUGCAAAGAACGUCGUGCGGACUCGGUGCCGCCUAAAACAUG